UCUAUCUCUAUUUUCCUCACGCGGAGGCACAGGCUGCACCCUGCCCAGCCAGCCGCGCUCAUGGCGCCAGGGCCGCUGCCGCUGCCGUAGCCACGAGCCCACGACCCUUAGUUCGCCCGCGGCGCCGCAGGGAGUCGACGAACGGCGGGCGCGCAGGCGGCUGCGCGCCGGCGCCACCUCCACGAGGCGGCCGCGCGCCGAUUCCGGCCGGGGAACGGCCAGAACGGGUGGAGGAAAAGGCGGAGAAGGUAGAGGAGGUGGAGUGGAGGCUCAGGGUACAAGGGAUUCGGGUGAGAGCGAGUGUGGCCGGUGGAUUUGGCGAGCGGGCGGAGGCACGAACUGCUUGGUGGAGUAAGCACUCGCGGUUGCCGGCGGUGUGGUGGUCCAUGGCGGCGCUCCCUCCAGCUCCUUUCCCUCCUCUGGUGACUUGGUGAGCGCCCGUCAGCAGGGGACCUGCUAGUGAACUUCACGCACACACAGCUUCAGCCGUUCAGCACUCCAGAGUCCAGAUCUUGGAGAGAUGGAAUGCCAUGGCAGUGGCAAGGGGAAAGGGAAUGUAGCUGACAACAGUGGCGAGCCAUCCAGUGUGGCCGGCGGGUCAUCUGACACAUGUGGUUACUAGUGGAGGGAGGCGGAUAAAAUUGACAGAACCAAUUGCAGAUACAUGGAGCCAUGGGACACAGUCUGGUACAAAUGGUUUCAAGUGUUCCUACUGUCCUCUAGGCCAGAAAAGUGGAGGGAAGACCCGUCUGACAGAGCAUUUGUGUGGAUUAUCCGGUAAUGUGAAACCAUGUCCCUAUGUGCCAUAUAAUGUUAAGAAAAUAUUGCUGAAUCAAGUAGCAUUAGCGAAGCAAAAGAAGAGAGAUGUUAAGGAAAAUCGUCUCUAUGUUGAGAAGGUUCUCAUGGACCAUAAUUAUAGAAAAACUUUGGAUAGGCUUGACGAAGAGGCACAAUAUGAGAUGGCAAUGUAAAACUCGCUGAUGGAUAUUUGGCUCAACUCCUAAAAGUAGGGCAAGUGGCUCAACUCCUAAAACUAGAUUUGGCAUGGUGUUCUUGUGCUUGCAAAGUUUUUUUGAUAGGCAGAAUGAGUUCAAGGCAUGGAUGGUCUCUCCUGAGUGGAAAAAUAGUGAAUGGAGAAAUGACCCAGACCAUGAAUUUGCAUAUGAUUGCUUGACAAGUAGAGUGUGGUGGGAAAAGAUGGAAUUGGUCUUGAAAGUUGUUGGACCACUUUUCUGUGUUCUUCGCUAUGCUGAUCAAGAAAAGAAUGGUACUGUAUCUGGCUUCCUUCCAAAGAUGAUACAGGCAUAUAAUGAGAUAACUGGUAAAUUAAGAAAAAAACAAAAAUGGUAAAGGAGAUUUUCAUAAGAAGGUAGCUGAAGUAAUCAGUAAAAGGCUUCGAUAUCUUCUCAAUGAAACACUUACUCAUGCAGCUGCUGCACUUGAUCCUCCAGAAUUAUAUAGGUCAAACCUUGCAAAAAAGUCGAGUUCCCAAUUUGCUGUAACCAUGGCAAUCAAGAAGCUUGCAAAGUCAACUUCAGAAGCAGCAGCUGCGAUUGAUCAAUAUUCUCAGUUCAUUGAAAAGAGAGGGUUAUUUGGAGAUCCAGAAGCUAAGUGGUCAGCAUUAAAUGGCAAAACCAGCGCAGCUAGCUGGUGGGGUUCUUAUGGAGGACAAUGUCCAGAAUUACAAGCAAUUGCAAGACGCAUUGUCUCGCAAUGCGUAUCCUCAAGUGGGUGUGAAAGAAACUGGAGCACGUUUGCUUUGGUGCAUACAAAAGUAAGAAAUCGUUUAGGCUAUGAUAAGCUGCAGAAAUUAGUGUUUGUGCAUUAUAAUCUGAAGCUGAGCAUCCAACAAUUCAAAAUUGACUUCCAAUAUUUUCAAGAAAAAGAUUCUGAUCCAUGUAGCACGAUGAUGGAUCUUGCUCUUUAUGAUGAAAGCAACCCAAUCGUGGAGUGGCUGAGUAAUUCUAUGAGUGAGUCUACACCGGUUCUUGAUGAAUAUGAUGAUAGUGAUGAUGAUUGGUCCACACCUAGCAAGUUCGUCAUUGAAAGUUUACAAAUGGACACUGAAGAGGUAGCUGCUUUUAAGCGGAAGAUGCAAUUGAGCAAGAAAAAGAAAAAGAGAAGGAAUAUGCAAUUGGAUGAAGAUGAAUGUAUUGUAGAUGACUAGGACACAACUUCUUUAGAAGAACAAGGUAGCCCAGCUUAUGCCGAGUCAGGGGACAGCAGUUCCAAUGAUGAAGAUGAUGAAUUUCAGCUGGCUGGUUGAAAUGGCGGCAAGCUUCUGGCAUCCUUUGUGACAAGAGGG